UACGGGGGGAGCAAGCGUUGUUCGGAUUUACUGGGCGUAAAGGGCGCGUAGGCGGCCACCGCAAGUCGACUGUGAAAUCUCCGGGCUUAACCCGGAAAGGUCAGCCGAUACUGCGGGGCUAGAGUGCAGAAGGGGCAACUGGAAUUCUCGGUGUAGCGGUGAAAUGCGUAGAUAUCGGGAGGAACAUCAGUGGCGAAGGCGGCUACCUGGCCCAAUACUGACACUCAGGUGCGACAGCGUGGGGAGCAAACAGG
rnacentral:rRNA from 1 species